rnacentral:rRNA from 1 species
GACGAACGCUGGCGGCGUGCUUAACACAUGCAAGUCGAACGAUGAAGCCGGAGCUUGCUCUGGUGAAUUAGUGGCGAACGGGUGAGUAACACGUGAGUAACCUGCCCUUGACUCUGGGAUAACUGCUAGAAAUGGUAGCUAAUACCGGAUACGACCCUCGGAGGCAUCUCCAGGGGGUGGAAAGAAUUUCGGUCAAGGAUGGACUCGCGGCCUAUCAGCUAGUUGGGGAGGUAACGGCUCACCAAGGCGACGACGGGUAGCCGGCCUGAGAGGGUGACCGGCCACACGGGGACUGAGACACGGCCCAGACUCCUACGGGAGGCAGCAGUGGGGAAUAUUGCACAAUGGGCGCAAGCCUGAUGCAGCAACGCCGCGUGAGGGAUGACGGCCUUCGGGUUGUAAACCUCUUUUAGUAGGGAAGAAGCGAAAGUGACGGUACCUGCAGAAAAAGCACCGGCUAACUACGUGCCAGCAGCCGCAGUAA